CACUCAACGAGUCGAGUUGUUUGGGAAUGCAGCUCUAAAUGGGUGGUAAAUUCCAUCUAAAGCUAAAUAUUGGCGAGAGACCGAUAGCGAACAAGUACCGUGAGGGAAAGAUGAAAAGAACUUUGGAAAGAGAGUUAAACAGUACGUGAAAUUGUUGAAAGGGAAACGUUUGAAGUCAGUUGUGUUGGCUGGGGAUCAAGCCAGUCUUUUUGACUGGGUGUACUUCCUAGUUGACAGGCCAACAUCAGUUUUGACCGUCAGAGAAAGGCUUUGGGAAUGUGGCACCUUUACAAGGUGUGUUAUAGCCCUUGGUUGUAUGUGACGGUUGGGACUGAGGAUAGCAGCGUGCCACUUUGGCAGGGUUUCGACCACGUUCACGCUUGGGAUGUUGGCAUAAUGGCUUUAAGCGACCCGUCUUGAAACACGGACCAAGGAGUCUAACAUGCAUGCAAGUGUUUGGGUGGAAAACCCAAGUGCGUAAUGAAAGUGAAAGUUGAGAUCCUCGUUAGUGGGGAGCAUCGAUGCCCGGACCAGAACUUUUGGGACGGAUCUGCGGUAGAGCAAGCAUGUUGGGACCCGAAAGAUGGUGAACUAUGCCUGAAUAGGGUGAAGCCAGAGGAAACUCUGGUGGAGGCUCGUAGCG
rnacentral:rRNA from 1 species